rnacentral:rRNA from 1 species
GAUGAACGCUGGCGGCGUGCCUAAUACAUGCAAGUCGAGCGAAUGGAUUAAGAGCUUGCUCUUAUGAAGUUAGCGGCGGACGGGUGAGUAACACGUGGGUAACCUGCCCAUAAGACUGGGAUAACCCCGGGAAACCGGGGCUAAUACCGGAUAACAUUUUGAACCGCAUGGUUCGAAAUUGAAAGGCGGCUUCGGCUGUCACUUAUGGAUGGACCCGCGUCGCAUUAGCUAGUUGGUGAGGUAACGGCUCACAAAGGCAACGAUGCGUAGCCGACCUGGGAGGGUGAUCGGCCACACUGGGACUGAGACACGGCCCAGACUCCUACGGGAGGCAGCAGUAGGGAAUCUUCCGCAAUGGACGAAAGUCUGACGGAGCAACGCCGCGUGAGUGAUGAAGGCUUUCGGGUCGUAAAACUCUGUUGUUAGGGAAGAACAAGUGCUAGUUGAAUAAGCUGGCACCUUGACGGUACCUAACCAGAAAGCCACGGCUAACUACGUGCCAGCCGCCGCAGUAA